GAUGAAGAACGCAGCGAAAUGCGAUAAGUAAUGUGAAUUGCAGAAUUCAGUGAAUCAUCGAAUCUUUGAACGCACAUUGCGCCCGCCAGUAUUCUGGCGGGCAUGCCUGUCCGAGCGUCAUUUCAACCCUCAAGCCCCAGCCGGCUUGGUGUUGGGGACCGGCCCCGGCCGCCCCCCAAAUGCAGUGGCGACCUCGCCGCAGCCUCCCCUGCGUAGUAGCACAACCUCGCACCGGAGCGCGGAGACGGUCACGCCGUAAAACGCCCAACUUCUCAGAGUUGACCUCGGAUCAGGUAGGAAUACCCGCUGAACUUAAGCAUAUCAAUAAGCGGAGA
rnacentral:misc_RNA from 1 species